GACGAACGCUGGCGGCGUGCCUAAUACAUGCAAGUCGAACGAGAGCGACCAGUGCUUGCACUGGUCAAUCUAGUGGCGAACGGGUGAGUAACACGUGGGUAACCUGCCCAUCAGAGGGGGAUAACAUUCGGAAACGGAUGCUAAAACCGCAUAGGUCUUCGAACCGCAUGGUUUGAAGAGGAAAAGAGGCGCAAGCUUCUGCUGAUGGAUGGACCCGCGGUGCAUUAGCUAGUUGGUGAGGUAACGGCUCACCAAGGCCGUGAUGCAUAGCCGACCUGAGAGGGUGAUCGGCCACAUUGGGACUGAGACACGGCCCAAACUCCUACGGGAGGCAGCAGUAGGGAAUCUUCCGCAAUGGACGCAAGUCUGACGGAGCAACGCCGCGUGAGUGAAGAAGGUUUUCGGAUCGUAAAACUCUGUUGUUAGAGAAGAAUAAGUGCUAGAGUAACUGUUAGCGCCUUGACGGUAUCUAACCAGAAAGCCACGGCUAACUACGUG
rnacentral:rRNA from 1 species